GAAUACGACUUGCACUGAGGACAGUUAUGUUGGAUUAGAUUUCUAGCCUAAAGAAGCCAUAUACUUACUUUUGCACCAGUUAGGUUUUAAUGCACUUAAGUUUUUAAAAGUUUCCUGUCAGUUGUGUAGCAUUCAGGGCUGUUGUAAUCCUCUGCUUCUUGCUGUUUAUUUUGUCAGCUCAUACAGUUCUACACAAUUUAUAUUUUAAUUCUUAUACAGGUAGUUGUUUAUUUUUGGGUUGCGAAUACAGCAGAAAUGGUGUAUGUUGGUAAUUUCUCACUUAAAAUCAGAUUCUUUUUGCUUUAAAUAGCCCCCACUUUCCUUCUUCCCCUUCUGAAUUUAAAGGGCCUAUUCCAUCUGUUCCCUCUAACAGAUAAAGCAUUAUGAAUAUUGCCAUUUUUGAAAUCUAAUAUGCAACUGUAUUAACUACAAGCUAUGUUACCAGCUUUUUCUGUAAGUACUAAGAAAAAUGCAUUAUGAAAUUCUGAUCCAUUAUAAUGGGAUGCCUUUGAGGCUAAAAAAACCACAGCUGUAAUAGCCACAAAAUUGCAGGAUUUCAGAGCAAUGAAUAUGAGGACAAGGCAACCGGCUUUUGCCUAGAUAAUUUGUUGAGAGAGGAAGUGGGGACUGACUGCAACAGUUGAGCUUGUAAAACUAAAGUGAACAGAUUGUCGCUGAGCAGAGUUGUGUACAGUGUAUUUUUAAAAUUAGUAUUAUGAUAAGUAAGUUGAGCUCUAACCAGAGAUGAAACCAUGUGCAUAUUUCCUGUCUGUCUGAGACAGCACAAAUGCCUGGGGGUGGAAGAAUUGAGUUUUGACACACAUCAGCACAUAUCAGAAGUGAUAAAGCUGGUAUUUCUUUUGCUAGAAAAGGAUAGAGUGGUUUUCCUGAUCACUUUGAUUGGCUAUUUACUAUAUGGUGCAAUUCACAGAAUCUUGAAAAGCACAGACAGCUCUUCAGAAGUCUUUCCUGUUCAGUAGCUGCCUUUAUCACAAUAUUUUGUUUUAAUUAUGGGAGUUUCUUGUUGAGUCAGAAUGUGAGUGUGAAGACCUAUAGCCAGAUGAGGCUUAGUCUGACCUACUACUGCUUCAGACUUUGCUUGGUCAUUCCUUUAGUGUGUAUUUAGCAAGACUGUUGAUUUAAAGCCUUAAAGAGAUGGAAUAUUUACUUCAACCUUUAUGAUCUCAAGUAAUUGGUUACACAGAAUACUAACUUCCUUUUUUUUAAACCUAAAAGCUCUGUUCAUCCUGAGGCUGUGGGAUUUUUUUUUAACGCCCUAGACUGCAAAGUUAAAGACACUUGCAAUAUUGCUUCUUUCCUAUGCAAUGAAAGAACACUGUAGUCUGACAUUAUAGGCCAAGUUCAGUGAAGAGCUGUAGCUAGCUACCCUGUUGUGUUUGUGGUACUCCUCAGUAUGAGGGACGGCACUGCAGAAGUCUCCUUUGUAUUACUAUGAACGUGCAAGCAUGUGGCACGGGAUGCUCUUGUCUGCUGGGCAGAGAGAGAACUGGUCAGAGAUUAGAUUACUUUAAGGAGUCUCAUCUCUUGAAAACUGCAAAGCAGAAGUACGCUGAUCUCCAUGUGCAGUAUUGAUAAGAAAUAACAGCAGCAAGGAAUAUUUAGAUGAGAUACUACAGAAAACUGUGUAAACACUGGAAUAUGUUGUGUGCAGCAAGUGUGGAAUAUUCACUCCUGAAUUUAAUAAUAGAUAUGACAGACAUCUGUUACGAAUAAUAAAGCUGAAAUGAUCCUACUGA